rnacentral:rRNA from 1 species
UACGUAGGUGGCAAGCGUUGUCCGGAUUUAUUGGGUUUAAAGGGUGCGUAGGCGGCCUUGUAAGUCAGUGCUGAAAUAUCCCGGCUUAACCGGGAGGGUGGCAUUGAUACUGCAGGGCUUGAGUAAAGUUGAGGUUGGCGGAAUUGACGGUGUAGCGGUGAAAUGCUUAGAUAUCGUCAAGAACACCGAUAGUGAAGACAGCUAACUAAGCUUUAACUGACGCUGAGUCACGAAA